AUUUUAUUCUUAAAAUAAAUAGAAACUGAUUAUGGAAGACAAUUGUAAUUUAGGCGAUUACAUGUACAGACGAAGGAAUACCAUAGUUAGCUCUGAGGAAGAGACGGAGAACUGCACUGGAAAGCGUCUUAUCAACUUAUACAAAAGAGAUUACAACUCUGACCUGGACCUGGUCGAGUCUGGGAAAUACCUGGAUUCCACCUCUGAAGGAGAUGCACCCAUCUAUCCCAUGGAUCGCGAGGACCCUGAGCCAGAAGACGAACCUUCAGGGGGAUGCGAAAAAUCACUUUCAGAAUGUCGAUACAACGCAUUGCUUUAUGUUAUCGGAGGAUAUAUUGUCGGACUACUAUUGGUACUAAUGUGGUACUAUAGGAAUCCCAAAGAGGCCUGCAAGGACCUUAAUGGAAAAUGGAUUUUCAUCGUCUUGGUCACCUUACUAAUUAUUAUACUGGUUCGACGACGUCCAGCAAGGUGCAUUGCAGUGUUAUGCCUUUCAAGGUUAUCAAGCAGUCAAUUUCGGACAUUGGUAAUUGCAUUAGCUUUCUUGGUUGCUUUUUCGGGACCUAUAAAAAAUAUAAUCCACAACAUUUGCAUUUUGGCGAACACUCUCACCUGUGGGCAAAAUGUGCUAAUACAGGCUCUAAAGCUAAUGCAACGAAUUAUAAACGAUCCUUCUCAUUCAGUGGAGGAGGCAUUCAAGACAACGUUGACUCAAGUGUGCAGACUCAUGAAUAAACUGGAUAAGCUUUUGCUAAAUUUGGAGAGGCCCAUAUCACAAAUACAUGCCACUUAUAAGACCUGCACAGAUUGGUUACUUUUGCAGAAGGAUCACUAUGAGUACAAGAUGGGUACUCCCUACAACCGCUGCAUGAAGGCGGGUAACUUGAGUAUUGCACAGUGCAAGAUUGAGUUUGGAGGAAAAAAGAAAGAGUGCUGUAACCUAGAACUCUUUUAUUGGUUCUGCGAAAGUCUCAAGUCAUUUACAAGUUUCUUCGAUGAUAAUCUUCAAUGGUCUCUGAUGGUCAUCAAGGAAAUAUUUCAACGCUUGCGGUUAUGCUCCAUGAAAAUCAGAUAUAUUUUUAUAAGCUCCAUUAGUUUUGACCAUAGCUUAAAAUUUAAUUCAACAGGUCAAUUUACCCCUAACAAAGAUCACAUAACCGAACAAGAUGUAAACGAGAAAUUAGAGGCACAGAGACAUAAGUUAUAUUUGCUAUUAUUUUUGAUCGAUUUAGUUAUCUUCAUACUCUUGCUCACUAUUAUACAUCAAUCACUGAGCUUUUGGCUGCGCUACUUGAGCAAUGAACAAUAUGAAAAUGUCUAUAUAACAGAGGCUUUUGAGAACUAUGAUGACAAGUACUAUCAGACCAUGGGUGUAAGAGCCUUGCCCUUAAGUAAUUUCGAAGAGAAUAAAUAUGUGAAGAUCUUUAGAUAAAUUCAAUGCGACUGCUGCCCAAAGAAUAUGAUACUAUUUAUCGUUCAGUAACGUUUUUGGGGAUCACAGGAAUACAGCUUUUCUGCAUCUGCUUUGUGGACUACAGUCUUUAUAGUAUGCUAACUUUGAUGUCCUAUUAUGGACAUAUGAUUGAAGAUGUUAAACCUCUUGCCUAUAAAAAGAUUGUCAUUACUGGCGGAGGUAAAACUGGCGACAUUCUACGAGAUCUGGUUCAGGCAUUUGAGCCAAGAACUUUCAAAAUAAAUACUCAACGGUGUCUACCGAUUCCAGGUCAUCCGAAAUACCUCCGAUAUGUGUGGAUCUUAUUGCUUUAUUUGCUGGCCUGGUUCAUGGUUUUUUGGGAGCCAUAUGGCCUCCGUCGAAGACACCGUACUAUGAUGUACUUUUAUCCAGAGGAAUCAAGGCGCAGAGUUUACGACUUGCACCGAACAAUAUUACAUGAAAGAAAACAUUUAUUUAAAGCAAAAUGUCGGGAGGCACGUUUCUUAAACGCCUUUAAGAAUACCCAUCAAUUUGAAUCGUAUUUUACGUGGCUUAAUUCUCGUCUAAACUGGUGUCUCAGUUGUUGUACAGUAUCUUUUAUUGGAACAUGCUGUACCAUUUGCAAUAAACCACUGAACAAAUCUGAUAAUGUUUCCUGUGGCUGGCCAAACUGCAGGGGUAUCUACUGUACAACGUGCUUUCAAGACAGCCACAAUAAAUGUGUAUUAUGCAGUUCCGAGUACGAAGAUGAACUAUUGGAACAUGGGAACUCUUCUGGAAAUUCGGACUCUGAUUUCUGCAGCGUUGAUAAGAGUUAUCCCCAGCAGCGUGAUAAGAAAAUAUAGGGAUUAAUUCCAAAAUCUGUUAAUACAAAUAAAUAUUUAAAUAGGAUUUCUUAUAAAACUACAACAAGUAUAGUUGGCUGCCACGACUUCAAG